AGAGUCUAAUGUUAUUAUCUUUUUAUUGCAUCAUAUUCAUUGCCAUAUUAGAAAAAAAAAUUAUUUUAAACUUCAAAAUUCUUUCUGGUAGGGGAAUUAGAGUUACAAGAACAACCAAUUAUUCUUCCUCAGACUGGAUUAGAGUACUCUCUACAUGUCCAUAAAUCCUUAUAGGGGAGUGGUGAGAUGGGAAUUCAUCAUGUUUCAAUAUUGGAAAAAAAAAUUGUAAUUAAGAAGUUUGGUUCUUUAGUGGUCUUUGGAGAGAAGAAGAAUGAACUGUUGAUUUGCAUAAUUUAACCUCUGAAUAUUCCAUCUAAAAAGCUGCUUCAUCAGCCCCAAAAUUCGUUCAAAAUUGAAGCAAAGGGCAAGUGGUUGCGAGGUUUGGCCUCUCCAGGGUAUCUCAAUGCCACCUAGGUGACAAUGGAUUUGAUCCUCUUGGACUUUCAGAAGACCCUGAGAACGUGAUAUGGUUUGUGCAGACAGAGCUCUUUAAUGGUUUGUGGGCCAUGUUAAGUGUAGCAGGGAUGCAGCCGCCAGAAGUCUUCACAAAGAUUUGUAUCAUCAAUGUACCAAAAUGGUAUGAUGCUUGGAAAACAGAAUAAUACAAAAAAAUUCUUUUCCAGUUAAAAGAAAUAGAGCAUAAAUUGUAGAUAUUUUAAUGGUCAAGUUCCUUUAUUUGUUCAUUAUUGUAAUUUUUUCUUUGAUACAAUCUAUAUGUUCUUAACUUGGGAUCUUGAGGGCUAACAGUUGAGAUAAUAUUGGUCUUACAAUACUA